rnacentral:tRNA from 1 species
ACAUCGAUAGCACAGUGCCUAGUGUAGUCUGACGGAAACAGAAAGACGCGGGUUCAAUUCCCGUGCGAUGUU